AGAGUUUGAUCAUGGCUCAGAUUGAACGCUGGCGGCAGGCUUAACACAUGCAAGUCGAGCGGAAACGAUGGUAGCUUGCUACCAGGCGUCGAGCGGCGGACGGGUGAGUAAUACUUAGGAAUCUACCUAGUAGUGGGGGAUAGCACGGGGAAACUCGUAUUAAUACCGCAUACGACCUACGGGAGAAAGGGGGCAGUUUACUGCUCUCGCUAUUAGAUGAGCCUAAGUCGGAUUAGCUAGAUGGUGGGGUAAAGGCCUACCAUGGCGACGAUCUGUAGCUGGUCUGAGAGGAUGAUCAGCCACACCGGGACUGAGACACGGCCCGGACUCCUACGGGAGGCAGCAGUGGGGAAUAUUGGACAAUGGGGGAAACCCUGAUCCAGCCAUGCCGCGUGUGUGAAGAAGGCCUUUUGGUUGUAAAGCACUUUAAGCAGUGAAGAAGACUCUUCGGUUAAUACCCGGAGACGAUGACAUUAGCUGCAGAAUAAGCACCGGCUAACUCUGUGCCAGCAGCCGCGGUAAUACAGAGGGUGCAAGCGUUAAUCGGAAUUACUGGGCGU
rnacentral:rRNA from 1 species